UAGCACUUUUUAUGGUCCGCUAAAGUCAAAAUAACAACUAACACAUAUUAUGAUGAUGCAGGCCACAGAUGUGACAGUUUAUGUUUCAAAAUCAAUCAUAUCAAAAGAUACAUGUAUAAAAUUUGCAUACACUACAAUUAUAAGUACCAAUUAUGAAUUUAAAUAUACAAUACUAACAUUAGACAUUACAGUCUGAACCAAUGAGCAUAUUAUGUAAUAAAUGAAAAGACAAAUGUCAUCAAUUAUUGAAAUUGAAUUUUUUGAAAAGUCAAUCAAUUUAGAGUUAUCUUCCCUUGACUAUAAAUUUGUUAAUAAUAGUGUAACAUUUCAACUUUUGGGAGCAGAUACCGCUCUUUUUGUCCUCAUCUAAUUCAACAAUUAACAAACCUCUUUUCAAGGUGGAAGAAGGGGGAGGGGAGGGGAUUAAAAUAUUUUAUGAAAAUUGAAUGUCAUCAAAUUUCUGUUUGAUUCUCUAAAAAUUGCCUACAAUGCCGUAACAGCGACAUUACACAGCUGUUUGCCGUGAUCAGGAUCCGAACCUGGGUUGUCGCAGCCACAACGCGAAGUACUAACCACUAUACGAUCACGGCUAUGACUUGCAGAUUAAAAUAUUUUAUGAAAUUUGAAUGUCACCAAAUUUCUGUGUGUUCUUCCUUUGGCAGCUAUUUGGAAAAGAGGCUGGAAAUUAAAACAUGUGCUUGAAGUAGCGCCCCCUUAUCAAUCGCAAAAUUCCAAAGAGUUUCAGGUUAGAUAAUCACAUAUGUACCAUCCGUAACUUUUUCUACAUAUUUCUAAAAUUUACAAAACAUGAUAACACAAGACAGAAUACUGUUCUGGAACUUAUUCAUCAUUUAUUCUUCAUUUGAUCAUCAUUUUAUAUUGUUAACGUUUCAUUGCGUACAUCGCUUUAUGUGCGCCAGUUUUAGGAGUUUUAUACAGGACAGUGUAGGAAUCCGUGUUACUUUCCCCUCUCUUCUGAGUGACGUAAAAAUGCUCAGCGAGGCGUGUGCACAACUACAAGGAACAUUCAUCGGACACGUUGUCUAAAGGAACAAUUCGUGGCUAACCACAGCGUGAGUUACAUUUAAAACAUUACAAAUCAUGUCUUUAC
rnacentral:tRNA from 1 species